rnacentral:rRNA from 1 species
UACGAAGGGGGCUAGCGUUGUUCGGAAUUACUGGGCGUAAAGGGCGCGUAGGCUGUGCUGUAAGUCAGGCGUGAAAGGCCCGGGCUCAACCUGGGAACUGCGCUUGAUACUGCGGCGCUGAAGACGGGAGAGGAUGGCGGAAUUCCCAGUGUAGAGGUGAAAUGCGUAGAUAUCUGGAGGAACACCGGUGGCGAAGGCGGCGUCUGGGACCGACACUGACGCUGAGGCGCGAAAGCGUGGGGAGCAAACAGG